UAUUGGUCAAUGGGCGGAAGCCUGAACCAGCCAAGUCGCGUGAGGGAAUAAGGCCCUACGGGUCGUAAACCUCUUUUGCCGGGGAGCAAGGGCGGGGACGUGUCCCGGCCCGGAGAGUACGCGGAGAAAAAGCAUCGGCUAACUCCGUGCCAGCAGCCGCGGUAAUACGGAGGAUGCGAGCGUUAUCCGGAUUUAUUGGGUUUAAAGGGUGCGUAGGCGGGCUUUUAAGUCAGCGGUAAAAAUUCGGGGCUCAACCCCGUCCGGCCGUUGAAACUGGGGGCCUUGAGUGGGCGAGAAGAAGGCGGAAUGCGUGGUGUAGCGGUGAAAUGCAUAGAUAUCACGCAGAACCCCGAUUGCGAAGGCAGCCUUCCGGCGCCCUACUGACGCUGAGGCACGAAAGUGCGGGGAUCGAACAGGA
rnacentral:rRNA from 1 species